rnacentral:rRNA from 1 species
AAUGAACGCUGGCGGCGGGCCUAAUACAUGCAAGUCGAGCGAAAAGACGAGGAGAGUGCUCUUUUGAGGUUAGCGGGGGACGGAUGAGUAAGACGUAGAUAACAAACCUAUAAGACGGGGAUAACAUCGGGAAAAAGGAGACAAUAAUGGAGAAUAUAUUGAACGGGAGGGAGCAGUAGUGAAAGAGGGUUUUGCUGACACUAAUAGAUGGAUCCGCGUCGCAUUAGCUAGUUGGUAAGGUAACGGCUUACCAAGGAAACGAUGCGUAGCCGUCCUGAGAGGAUGAUCAGCCACACUGGAACUGAGACACGGUCCAGACUCCUACGGGAGGCAGCAGUGGGGAAUCUUCCGCAAUGGGCGAAAGCCUGACCGAGCAACGCCGCGUGAGUGAUGAAGGUCUUCGGAUCGUAAAACUCUUUUAUUAGGGAAGAACAAAUGUGUAUUUAUCUCUGCAUGUCUUGACGGUACCUAAUCAAUAAGCCCCGGCUAACUUCGUG